rnacentral:rRNA from 1 species
GACGAACGCUGGCGGCGUGCUUAACACAUGCAAGUCGAACGGAAAGGCCCUGCUUUUGUGGGGUGCUCGAGUGGCGAACGGGUGAGUAACACGUGAGUAACCUGCCCUUGACUUUGGGAUAACUUCAGGAAACUGGGGCUAAUACCGGAUAGGAGCUCCUGCUGCAUGGUGGGGGUUGGAAAGUUUCGGCGGUUGGGGAUGGACUCGCGGCUUAUCAGCUUGUUGGUGGGGUAGUGGCUUACCAAGGCUUUGACGGGUAGCCGGCCGGAGAGGGUGACCGGCCACAUUGGGACUGAGAUACGGCCCAGACUCCUACGGGAGGCAGCAGUGGGGAAUAUUGCAAAAUGGGCGGAAGCCUGAUGCAGCAACGCCGCGUGCGGGAUGACGGCCUUCGGGUUGUAAACCGCUUUCGCCUGUGACGAAGCGUGAGUGACGGUAAUGGGUAAAGAAGCACCGGCUAACUACGUG